UACGAAGGGGGCUAGCGUUGUUCGGAAUUACUGGGCGUAAAGGGCGCGCAGGCGGCUCUUCAAGUCAGAUGUGAAAGCCCCGGGCUCAACCUGGGAACUGCAUUUGAGACUGGAGAGCUUGAGUUCGGGAGAGGAUGGUGGAAUUCCCAGUGUAGAGGUGAAAUUCGUAGAUAUUGGGAAGAACACCAGUGGCGAAGGCGACUACCUGGCCUGUUCUUGACGCUGAGGCGCGAAAGCGUGGGGAGCAAACAGG
rnacentral:rRNA from 1 species